rnacentral:rRNA from 1 species
CAGCAGUAGCCACGGGAAUACGGAGGGGGCUAGCGUUGUUCGGAAUUACUGGGCGUAAAGCGCACGUAGGCGGACCGGAAAGUCAGAGGUGAAAUCCCAGGGCUCAACCUUGGAACUGCCUUUGAAACUCCUGGUCUUGAGGUCGAGAGAGGUGAGUGGAAUUCCGAGUGUAGAGGUGAAAUUCGUAGGUAUUCGGAGGAACACCAGUGGCGAAGGCGGCUCACUGGCUCGAUACUGACGCUGAGGUGCGAAAGCGUGGGGAGCAAACAGGAUUAGAGACCCCUGUAGUCCCUGUCUCUUAUAC